AUUGAACGCUGGCGGCACGCUUAACACAUGCAAGUCGAGCGGUAACAUGUCAAGUAGCAAUACUAGAUGAUGACGAGCGGCGGACGGGUGAGUAACACGUAGGAACUUGCCCAGUAGAGGGGGACAACCAAGGGAAACUUUGGCUAAUACCGCAUAUUCUCGAGAGAGGAAAGCUGCCUGCAAAGGUGGCGCUAUUGGAGAGGCCUGCGUCCGAUUAGCUAGUUGGUGAGGUAAUAGCUUACCAAGGCGAGGAUCGGUAACUGGUCUGAGAGGACGAACGGUCACACUGGGACUGAGACACGGCCCAGACUCCUCCGGGGGGAAGCAGUGGGGAAUCUUGGACAAUGGGGGCAACCCUGAUCCAGCGAUGCCGCGUGAGUGAAGAAGGCCUUCGGGUCGUAAAGCUCUUUAGGUUGGGAAGAAGGUUGGUAGUUUAAGAGAUAAUCAACUUGACUGUACCAGCAGAAUAAGCACCGGCAAACUCUGUGCCAGCAGCCGCCGUAA
rnacentral:rRNA from 1 species